AGCGAACGCUGGCGGCAGGCCUAACACAUGCAAGUCGAGCGCCCCGCAAGGGGAGCGGCAGACGGGAGAGUAACACGUGGGAACGUACCCUUCGGUUCGGAACAACCCAGGGAAACUUGGGCUAAUACCGGAUACGUCCGUAAGGAGAAAGAUUCAUCGCCGAAGGAGCGGCCCGCGCCUGAUUAGCUAGUUGGUGAGGUAACGGCUCACCAAGGCUACGAUCAGUAGCUGGUCUGAGAGGAUGAUCAGCCUCACUGGGACUGAGACACGGCCCAGACUCCUACGGGAGGCAGCAGUGGGGAAUAUUGGACAAUGGGCGCAAGCCUGAUCCAGCCAUGCCGCGUGGAUGAUGAAGGCCUUAGGGUUGUAAAGUCCUUUUAACGGGGAAGAUAAUGACGGUACCCGUAGAAUAAGCCCCGGCUAACUUCGUGCCAGCCGCCGCGGUAAUAC
rnacentral:rRNA from 1 species